GCCGCUGUCCACCUCUUCGUAGCACGAUUCCGUCAUGGCAUCCGAGAAAGAUACAUAUAAUGCAAAGUGGACUGACCAUGUGACCAACAUUUUUAUAAGUUUGAUGGUAGAAGAGGUAAAAAAGGGAAAUCGUACCUCUUGUACUUUCAACAAAGUAGGGUGGAAAACUAUACUUGCUGAAUUUAAUAGUCGGGCAAGACGCCAAUAUAAGCUAUCACAGCUGAAGAACAAGAUGAACAAAUUGAGAAGAUUAUUUGGCGCUUUUAAGAAGCUUCUGACACAAUCCGGAUUUGGCUUGGAUAAUGU